CAGUCACACCCUUUGGAGCUUGAUCGUUCUGCAUACCUAACUAACUAACUAACUAACUCUGUGAAGAGCGAGCGAGCGCUGACUGCAGCAGGGAGGGUUCAAGAGAGCUUUUGUCAUGCAGGUGCCGGUUCUCUCCUUCCACCCCGGGGAUCCUGGGGCUUGAACUCUUGAACUCGGGUCUUCAUGCUUGGCAGCAAGUGCCGUUGCCCACUGAGCCAUCUCUCCAGCCUAUUGCAUGAUUUCUUAUAUUGCUUUGUUUUCUGUUUUUGUUUGUUUUGACAGGGUUGAGUUUAUCUCAGGCUGGCCUUGAGGUCUACAUAUUGCCAAGGAUAACUUUGAACUCCCGAUGCUCUUGCCUCUGCCUUCCAAGUGCUGGGAUUGCAGGAACGGUUCCACCCAUUGCAACGCAAGGAAGCCCCUGGGAACCACACCUAGACCUCAGGUGAAGAUGCCAGCCGCCAGGCAGGCAGGGUAGCACACACUUGUAGUCCCAGCACCGAGGAGGUAGAGGCAGGACCAUCAGGAGUUCCAGGUCAUCUUCAGCUCCACAGAGAGCUGGAGGCCUGCCUGGGUACCUGAGAAUGUCUCAAGAACCCCCAAAUCUGGGGCUGGGGAGAUGUCUCAGCUGGUAAAGGGGUUUGCUCACCUCCAAGCCUGGUGACCUGGGUUCCAUCUGUAGGACACAUGUGAUUCCUACACGGUGUGUCCU
rnacentral:lncRNA from 1 species